CAGCACCCCGAGUGGUCGGGACGAUUAUUGGGCCUAAAGCAUCCGUAGCCGGUUCUACAAGUCUUCCGUUAAAUCCACCUGCUUAACAGAUGGGCCGCGGAGGAUACUAUAAGACUAGGAGGCAGGAGAGGCAAGCGGUACUCAGUGGGUAGGGGUAAAAUCCGUUGAUCCAUUGAAGACCACCAGUGGCGAAGGCGGCUUGCCAGAAUGCGCUCGACGGUGAGGGAUGAAAGCUGGGGGAGCAAACCGGAUUAGAUACCCGCGUAGUCC
rnacentral:rRNA from 1 species